GCAAAUGUAUUCUGCAGUCCACGUUCCGCAUUUUAUGGUCGUCGCUGGGUGUUUUCCGUUUUCCAUAAUAUACUAUGCAUAUUACUGUGCACAAAGGAUGCUUUGAUUGUUUUGCUGUAGGUUGGUAUCCAUUCCUGUUGAUUCUGGGGAACUCCGUUUUCAGUACUUCAAACUACGUUGAUGUUUUCUUGCAGUAUGGGAUAACUUUUUAUACAGUUGUUUUGGAAUCGUGACACUAAUACCUGCAGAAACUGUGCACAGCUUUUUGGAAUUGUUAUUCUGGCAUAAAAUUUAAUCGCAUCAUCUGAGAGGUAAGAUUGAAGUUGACAAAAUAAUUGUUAUAUUAUGUUGAUUAUAAAAGAAAUAGGUCGUUAGCUCACUAUAUAUAUUAGUGAACUACUCUGAUGAAUGAUACAAUACAGGUGCUGGCAUGCUAUCCAAGGCAAACUUAGGGCUAAACACUAAUCGAGGUAAGUUUUUUAUAAAACUUUGUUAUUUAGAACUUGUGUGUGAUUGUAAGAUAUAGUAAUUAGUGUAUAUUUACAAAUUUAUUAUAGCCCCAACACAAUAGCUUCGUGUCAUGCAAUCCAUAUUUAGAAAGAUCUGCUAUGGCAUGUCUGUUGUGCUUGGGUUAGUUGUCACCGAUAAAGAUUACAGGCUAACUGAUGAAGUUAAAAUUGUGGAAUGUACAAUCAAAUAUGAAUGUAGAUUUCACUACUAAAUUUUUAGUUUUUGGCUAUGGGCUACAAUUUAAAUUAUCUAUAUGGUGGAUAUUCUGUUGAUGAUUGUAUCUAUUAAUGAAAUAGUUCUUCGUUAUACGUAUUUCAUUUUGUAUUUAUUACUUAUACAAUUUAAACUAAUGAAUUAUUUGUUAAUUGUUACAUUUCUUGUUUGGGACAAAUUAUAAACAAUCUCAGAAAACAUUUGUUUUUGCAGCGCUAGAAGUUUUCAUUUUCAUUUUUUAAUUUGCGUACAUGAUUUUUUAAUAUUUUGGACCAGUGAAUUUUUUUAGACAUUUUUUAAAAGGAUUAAUAUAUGAAAACUAUCAAUGUUGCGAAAUUGGUUUAUUAUAUUAUCUACAUGUUGGCAUGGUCAUUAGGGAUUGGCCCCGAUUACACAUCGAACUACCCGAAAAAUUGCCGUUUGGUUGCUACUCGGGUAGCUACUUUUCAAGCGGUCGGUAACGGUUCCGUUGGGCGCGGGGCAGAUCCCAAAUAGUCAUAGACCCCUGGUUCAUUAUUAUGGCUAUUUUAUUGAAUUGGCCCACUUUGAGAUGGCCUGGCGCAUUAGUUGCGGUGUUGUAUCUUUGAGGUCCUUCCAUGUUUGUGUAGUGUAAUCUAAUCAAAAUUUUAUAUAUGUUAAUUAAUGAUAUUGAUCAAAAUAAUAAUUUUUUUGUUACUACCGAAUAUUUCUUCUAUUAUUUUAGGAUCCAUGGGUUCCCUCUUUACAGUUCCAGUCUUACCACCUUUGCCAGAUUUCUUGUGUGCUAAAUUUUCAGAUUAUAUUGUUAUUACAGUGCCGGUCCAGUUAUAGAACCGCCUAGCUAUGGAACCGGCUCGGUUAUCGAACCGAUUUUUCUUUGCCGUGUUUCAGCGCCACCGUUGGCCGUAUUAUGAACUAUAUCGA